rnacentral:rRNA from 1 species
AUUGAACGCUGGCGGCAGGCUUAACACAUGCAAGUCGAGCGGAGCGGCGGCCGCGUGAGUAAUGCCUAGGAAUCGGCCUGGUAGUGGGGGAUAACGUCCGGAACCGGGCGCUAAUACCGCAUACUAUCAGAUGAGCCUAGGUCGGAUUAGCUAGUGGGUGGGGUAAAGGCCUACCAAGGCGACGAUACGUACCUGGUCUGGGAGGAUGAUCAGUCACACUGGAACUGAGACACGGUCCAGACACCUACGGGAGGCAGCAGUGGGGAAUAUUGGACAAUGGGCGAAAGCCUGAUCCAGCCAUGACGCGUGUGUGAAGAAGGUCUUCGGAUUGUAAAGCACUUUAAGAGGGGAGGCGUUACCGGCAGAAGAAGCACCGGCUAACUUCGUGCCAGCCGCCGCGGUAAUAC